ensembl:lncRNA
ACAACAUACUGCACUUAAGCAGGAAUAAUCAGCUGUAGAAAAUGUAAAACCAACUGGCUCAGCUGCAGCUCUGCACCAUUCUGUAACACAUGAAAACAUGCUGCAAGGACAGAAAAUGGCCUACAGUUAUCUUCUGGAUAAAUCAAGAAGCAAUAAGCUUCAGCUACAGCAAACUUACUCAGACUACUGAUGAAAACAUUGCACAGACUAGGACCAGGACUAACCCUAGGGGAUCUCCAUGAGGUCCAUUCUCUCCAUUUGAUCAUGAGCUGCAGAACCUCAUCCACUCUCUGUGUCACUGAGGAAGCAGGAACAAUCUCAGCUACCUCGUUAAGUAUUCCAGGAUUACACAGAGGUACACAUGGAGAUGUGAAAUGAAUGGUAGUUACUUCCUGCCAUGUUCGUUGUCUGGGAUAAAUAAG